AUUGAACGCUGGCGGCAGGCCUAACACUUGCAAGUCGAACGAGUGGCGGACGGGUGAGUACUGUCUGGUAACCUGCCCGAUGGAUGGGGAUAACUACUGGAAACGGUAGCUAAUACCGCAUACCAUCGGAUUUGCCCAGAUGGGAUUAGCUUGUAGGUGAGGUAACGGCUCACCUAGGCGACGAUCCCUAGCUGGUCUGAGAGGAUGACCAGCCACACUGGAACUGAGACACGGUCCAGACUCCUACGGGAGGCAGCAGUGGGGAAUAUUGCACAAUGGGCGCAAGCCUGAUGCAGCAAUGCCGCGUGUAUGAAGAAGGCCUUCGGGUUGUAAAGUACUUUCAGCGGGGAGGCGUUACCCGAAGAGGAAGCAACGGCUAACUCCGUGCCAGCAGCCGCGGUAAUAC
rnacentral:rRNA from 1 species